rnacentral:rRNA from 1 species
UACGAAGGUGGCAAGCGUUGUUCGGAUUUACUGGGCGUAAAGGGAGCGUAGGUGGUCGGGUAAGCCCCGCGGGAAAGCUCCAGGCUUAACCUGGAAAGGUCGCGGGGGACUGCGCGGCUAGAGGACGGGAGAGGAGCGCGGAAUUCCCGGUGUAGCGGUGAAAUGCGUAGAGAUCGGGAGGAAGGCCGGUGGCGAAGGCGGCGCUCUGGAACGGCCCUGACACUGAGGCUCGAAAGCGUGGGGAGCAAACAGGG